rnacentral:rRNA from 1 species
GACGAACGCUGGCGGCGGGCCUAAUACAUGCAAGUCGAGCGAGCUGAAUUCAAAGAUCCCUUCGGGGUGAUUUGUUGGACGCUAGCGGCGGAUGGGUGAGUAACACGUGGGCAAUCUGCCCUAAAAACUGGGAUACCACUGGGAAACAGGUGCUAAUCCCGGAUAACAACAUGAAUCGCAUGAUUCAGGUUUGAAAGGGGGCGCAGGCUGUCACUUUAGGAUGAGCCCGCGGCGCAUUACCUAGUUGGGGGGGAAAAGGCCUACCAAGGCAAUGAUGCGUAGCCAAGUUGAGAGACUGAUCGGCCACAUUGGGCCUGAGACACGGCCCAAACUCCUACGGGAGGCAGCAGUAGGAAAUCUUCCACAAGGGACCCAAGUCUGAUGAACCACCCCCGCGUGAGUGAAGAAGGUUUUCGGAUCGUAAAGCUCUGUUGUUGGUGAAAAAGGAUAGAGGCAGUAACUGGCCUUUAUUUGACGGAAAUCAACCAAAAAGUCACGGCUAACUACGUG